rnacentral:rRNA from 1 species
GUGGGGAAUAUUGGACAAUGGGCGAAAGCCUGAUCCAGCCAUGCCGCGUGAGUGAUGAAGGCCUUAGGGUUGUAAAGCUCUUUCAGUAGGGAAGAUAAUGACGGUACCUACAGAAGAAGCCCCGGCUAACUUCGUGCCAGCAGCCGCGGUAAUACGAAGGGGGCUAGCGUUGUUCGGAUUUACUGGGCGUAAAGCGCACGUAGGCGGAUUGGUCAGUUAGAGGUGAAAUCCUGGAGCUCAACGCCAGAACUGCCUUUAAUACUGCCAGUCUAGAGGCCAGAAGAGGUGAGUGGAACUCCUAGUGUAGAGGUGGAAUUCGUAGAUAUUAGGAAGAACACCAGUGGCGAAGGCGGCUCACUGGUCUGGUACUGACGCUGAGGUGCGAAAGCGUGGGGAGCAAACAGGAUUAGAAACCCUGGUAGUCC